AUGGACUUGACAUUAAUUAUCUUCUGUGUUGAAUUCUUGAUCAACAAUCAAUUACACCUGAAUUGCAUAUUAAUUAAUCGGCUGAGUGUCCCAGCCUUGCUUUGGGCCUGUACCGUCUCCAAGUCAAUGAGAAAGAAAUCCGACUGGUUUAGGACCCCCAACAUCACACCUGCAUAGGAUCUAGAGUAGAUCUGCUUAACUGAGCCCAGGGUAAGUUUCAGAGGUACAGCUUUCCUUCUUGUUCCUCAUCCCACGUUUUAUGUGUCUAAUUUGAUUGAAUGGGAUUCUUCUUAAGUGCCUACUAGGAUUUGAGUCCUGCCAUUAACCAGCCCCUUUGGUGAUGGACCAUAUCCCCACAUAGCUCUUGUUAGCCUUCACUCUUCUUCCCACUGGAGUUGGCCUCAGCUCCCAGAAGCCCCAGCUUUGUCCUGUGUCCGGGCUAUCCCUGAAUCCACAAUGGAGGCAUGAUUUUGACAGCAAGUUUUGCUAGUACCCAUUGACUCUUACACCAAGGUCCCCAUCAGAACAGAUUCCUUAACUACUGGUUCCAACCUGGAUCAUACAUGAAGCAAACCCCUCUCUAACAACAUACAUGCACACACACACACACACACAACUUUGGACUUUGGACACACACAACUUUUGGACUAAAUUUAAGAUAUUGUCUCCAGGACCGGCCCUGUGGUGCAGCAGUUAAGGUCACCCUUCCACUUUGGCAGCCCAGGGUUCGCCGGUUCGGAUCCCGGGUGCGGAUAUGGCACCACUCAUCAAGCC
rnacentral:lncRNA from 1 species